CUACAUAGAGGUCAAUUCUCCUUUUCUAAAAAUAUAAAAAAAUUGGGUUGCUUUCACAUCUAGAUCAUGAUUGAAACAUGAAUUUUAAAAUGUCAAUCACUUAACCAAUAAGGUAAUUUUAUUUAUAUCAUUUUUUAAAUAUAAUAAAUUUAAUAUAUUAAAAAAUAUAUUAGAUAAUAAAUAGUAUUUAAUAACAAAGAUAAAUGAGUACAAAUAAAUAAAAUAUACAGUAAUUUUUAAACCUAAACAAGCAUUAUUAAAUAUUUAUUUUAUUAACAUAAACAAGUAAAAAAUGAACAAAAAAAAAAAAAUCUAUUAAGUUAAACGUCAAUUGUUGAAGGUGGUGUGGAAAGCUUAUUAGAAUUCAUGGACAUUGAAACACAUAGGCAGAUAAAUUCAGAUAUGAAUUAGUCAUAAUUACAAGGAUUAAAGAUAUGAGAAAACAUUUCUCUCCAAGAUUAAUUCAAUUAGGAAUGCAUUCAAUUUUGAUUUAGUGUUAAAAGCAGAAUGCACGAUAAUAGUUUAAAAAAAAUUAAUAUUCAAGUGGAAAAAGUUAGAUUGAGGUAGGGUCCAUUAUCCAUCGAAUUUCAAACCAUAGGACAUAAAAGAAAAAAGGUUAAAUUUAAUUAAAUAUAAUAAAGGAGUGUGAUGUGACAUCUUUUUGUCUUCAAUCGAAAAAUAAUAUAUGGAGGUACAUUUAAGAUUUGGGCAAAAUAUUUUCAUUUUUUUGUCUUCAAUUCAAAAAUAAUUUGUGGAGGUACAUUAAAGAUUUGUGCAAGAUAUUUUCAUCCUUUUUGUCUUCAAUUCAAAAAUAAUUUAUGGAGGUACAUUAAAGAUUUGUGCAAGAUAUUUUCAUCUUUUUGUCUUCAAUCCAAAAAUAAUUUAUGGAGGUACAAUAAACAUUUGUCCAAGAUAUUUUCAUUUCUAUGCUGUUUGAUAUGUCAAUUGUCUGCUCCACCUUUAAUCAGAGAUCGAUGGUUCGAUCCUAGGCAUGAAGAAAACUCUGUUGGGACUGCUAUCUCCUGAAUGGAGUCCUACCCGGUGUGAAUUCGAAUUAGUCAGGCUCCAAUGUGGGUAUCAGACACCGAAUGAGAAACCAAAAAAAGAAGAUAUGUCAAUUGUAUAUUUUCAUCUUAUCUUAUUUAUUUUUGUAUUUUUCAAAUUUGAAAAAAUAUAUAUUUGAGCUAAAAAUCUAUCAAAAAUAAUUUUUUUAUCUAAAAAUAAAAUUAGCACACAAUUUUUUCUGGACUCCACUUAUUAUUAUUGUUUGUUAUUAAGUUGAGAUUAUUAGGAUCAAGAGAGGGAAAAAGGAGGGGAAAUUUUCACUUAUCUUGUGGAUGGAAAUAUUGGAAUUUACUAAUAAUAGAAGAGCAUACACAUCGC
rnacentral:lncRNA from 1 species